AGUGAACGCUGGCGGCAGGCCUAACACAUGCAAGUCGAACGGCAGCACAGGAGAGCUUGCUCUCUGGGUGGCGAGUGGCGGACGGGUGAGGAAUACAUCGGAAUCUACUCUGUCGUGGGGGAUAACGUAGGGAAACUUACGCUAAUACCGCAUACGACCUACGGGUGAAAGCAGGGGACCUUCGGGCCUUGCGCGAUUGAAUGAGCCGAUGUCGGAUUAGCUAGUUGGCGGGGUAAAGGCCCACCAAGGCGACGAUCCUUAGCUGGUCUGAGAGGAUGAUCAGCCAAACUGGAACUGAGACACGGUCCAGACUCCUACGGGAGGCAGCAGUGGGGAAUAUUGGACAAUGGGCGCAAGCCUGAUCCAGCCAUACCGCGUGGGUGAAGAAGGCCUUCGGGUUGUAAAGCCCUUUUGUUGGGAAAGAAAUCCAGCUGGCUAAUACCCGGUUGGGAUGACGGUACCCAAAGAAUAAGCACCGGCUAACUUCGUGCCAGCCGCCGCCGUAA
rnacentral:rRNA from 1 species